CAGAUCCCACUCAUACCUGGAAAUGGUGAAAACCAGACCUCAUCUCCAACAUUUACAGAACUUGCUGAAAAGGGGGAUCCCUGAAGCACUUGGGAAGGAGGCCCCACCCAGGCACCAUUAGACCUCGAGCCUUCCCCUACCAAGAAAGGCUGUUCCAUGGUCUCUAGACAAGAAACUGAGGCCAAAGAACGGAAAUGACCUGCCCGAGGUCACACAGCGGGUCAGUGACAGAGCCAGGCUGGCACUGAAACGCGCUGGUUGGAGCCCAUGCCCAGGGCUGAUUCUCUGGGAAGGCAGCUGAGGCAGCAGGCUUCAUCCACUAGAGCCCUGUGCCAUGGGCCAGCCCCAUUCACUGCCAGGUCUCUCCACUCCUCAAUGGGCUGGCCGAGGUCCACUGUGUUCAUAGGCACCUUUACCUCUCCAAUGAUGUCAUGUUUGGAGAAGCG
rnacentral:lncRNA from 1 species